rnacentral:rRNA from 1 species
AACGACUCUCGGCAACGGAUAUCUCGGCUCUCGCAUCGAUGAAGAACGUAGCGAAAUGCGAUACUUGGUGUGAAUUGCAGAAUCCCGUGAACCAUCGAGUUUUUGAACGCAAGUUGCGCCCUAAGCCGCCAGCUAAGGGCACGUCUGCCUGGGUGUCACGC